AAGGAAAAGUGCCUGCUCUUCCCUGUUCAUAGCACCUCAAACUUUUCUUUUUCCUGUAUGCAGAUACAAGGGAUGUUUAGAGAAUAGCAUGUCUUAACCUGCAGUUUGGGAUAAAAAGCCAUCGUGAAGAGUUGAAGGAAGCAGAGGUGACCAUAAGCUAGUGCUUUGAUGAGUCUCAAAGGCUAGUAGUAAAUUUAUAUCGACAACCCAGAAGAGUUUUUUCAGGGAACCCUGUGGUUAAAGACUAUCCUAGGGAAGAGACAAGUUCAGCAGAUGUCCAAGACUUUCGGACACAGUCCACACAGCCAUCGACAGAACCAUGAGGCAUCCCCAGCCUGCAGCCGUGGGCUUUCUUCUAAGUGGGUAACAGAGGGCGUUGACAGUGUGGAUUAUCAGACAAAGACUUCCUUGAGGAUCUUCACAAUCACAAUACCAAAAAAAAAAAAAUUCACUUGGUCUAGAUCACCAGGGAGACGAGACAUCCCCUGUGAUCAUUUAAUCUACGGGGAAGAAGAGGUUGCUCUGGGAUACGGUGCGAAGGUCCUUUAAAAAUCCUAUUAUGGACUCACUUCCUACCAUCCCUUGACCAUGACUGUGUACUCUGACAAUGUCAUGACACCAUUUUUUUUUUGACGGAAUGUCAAAAACAUUUUACUUGUCUGUGGCUUCUUGGAAAUCCUGAGUGCUUUUGUAACUCCAAAGGGGCCGGGGGAAUCCAUACAAUAAGCUUCAUUCUUUCAUUUAAAUGACUUUCAGGGGCUAUUAUUACCUGUACACUUAGAUCUGAGCCCCUUUGCUUCAGUUACUUACACACCUUUACAGAAUACUUCAUCUCCAAGCUCGGCCAUGGCUGCCUCUUUUGGCCUUACAUUCUGUACAACUAGCUAAAUGCUUUGUCUUUUUGGCCAGCUAGGCAGGUUAGAAGUGGGCUGAACGCCGAAACAUUCUUACUCCUUUUUAGUUCUGCUUAAGAGAGAUUACUGAAGCCCUGGACCUGUAAAAAACAAAGUGCGUUUUGGGUUUUCUUUUCUUUCUAUUGAUGAAAUGGAGGAGAAAGUGUCUCCUUUUGUUAUAAGACCACCCCGCCAAAGUCCGAGAAGUACAAGCAGAUAAAAAAAAAAACUGUUUCUAUUUUUAGAAUUUAAUACAAAAUCAUGUUCUUCUGUCAUACAGAAAAUUUGUCAUAGAUUUUUAUCUGCAAUAAAAGUGAUGUCAAGGGUGCCACAUAACACAUUUGUAAAGGUUAGAGAUAUUUUAACCUUCAUCUGUGACCAGAAUUACAAUGGUCAGUGAACUGCUGGACCAUUUCCAGCUGAUUGUUAAGCGUGGGGAAAAAAAAAAGAAAAAAAAAGUUGCUGACAUUAAUGUGAAACAGCGUCAGAUUCCAAGCACUGUAGAGUGGUCAGGUCAUUUUGAAUAAUGUCCUUGAAAUUACAGAUUUAUUACACGAGUAAAAAUAUGUGGUUACAAAUUCCACGGCUCUCCUGGCCUUGUAGUGGAUUUGUAUUUUUAGAGUCCAGUGGGAUUACAGUAUUUUGGUGGUUAAACUCUGGCAAAGCCUGUGAGAGCAUAACAACCACAUUAUUUCAAUGGCUUCUUUCCUGAAAUGACCAUUGUUACAGACGGAGAACAGUGAGCAGGAUUCUUAGAAAUGCUGCACGGACUUCUCUAGGAGUCAUGGAGCACUGCUGUUAAUUCCGGCGAUUGACUGUCUACAAGAUUGAGAACAAGCCCUUGUAAGUCAAACGGAACGCUCUUGGAACACUGAAGUCCGCUCUUUCCUAUAACCCUGGACUAUUUCUGGCUUUCUUCUUUCUUGUACUGUCUCUGGCCACAAUCCGCAUUGUCCUUUAGUCACCUCUGCUCUCUCCGUUUUAGAAGCUGGUCCUCCGUUGUUCCCACUUCUCAUCUCACCCCACUUACUGCCUGAGCCCUUGCAAGGCAGAGACCCAAGUCAUACUCGGUAUUGGCUAAUAAGAAGCUGCUUCAGAAGGAAGCUCAAGGGAAGGAUGAAGUUUUCUUUUCUCAUUAGAUUUGCAUAAGAAACAAACACAAGGUUUGCAUAGGAAAAUUCGAACAAAAUUUUAUUUAUUUAGAUUUUUUUCUUUAUGCUUCAGACACGGCAUGGUGCACAGUCGCUCUUGGUCAUUUUGUUCUUGAGUACCGUGAGUAUUUUGAAUACCAGAUGAUGAUUUAAUUUGGUUGGUUUAAUGCACAGUUUCAGCUUUCGCCUUUUCUUUGAAAGUGUGUUCCGUGACAGCGUCUGCAGAAGGCUGUUUUCAUUACCCAGUAUCCUUCAGCCUUAGAUCUGUAUCAGUUUCCCCCUUGCUCAUAAUCCAUUACAGAACGUGGUGCAGCUUUCUGUAGCAUGGCCAAGACUCCACGAUACGUCUGUAAUUUUCCAUAAGAUUUGUACAGUAUAAAGUAAAAAAUGUUUGCUUUAAGAGACAUCUGCUAUAAAUAAAUGGACAGUGUAAAAUUUCAGGGGAGCAACACAAUUGCUUUAAAGGCUCAAAGCAUGAACCUUCUGAAGAAACUGCCGGGACCUUCUCACAUUCUAGCGGGUGAGGCGUAUUCACCUCUGGGUUUGUGAGCCUCUACCCUAAUCGCUGGUUCUCCGUCCUUGCCCUCAGCCCCAGAAACUGCAAUGAAAUUAGUCUGUAAUGCUUUCAACGCGCUUGUGGGCCGGCUUUCCUUCUCACAGAAACAUAUGAAUGGCGUUAAAACGUCCUUCCCGCUCCCACACAAUAUUGCCCCAGAAUGCCAGAGAAACAAGCCGCUUCCUUCUGAGUCCGAUAUUAUCUUUAUUGACCGGCAUUGCCAACUUGAAAAGGUCAGCCAUCCAGGUCAGGGAUAUAUAUUCUUUAAGAAGAUUCCAGAACUGCUUUUAAAAACUCAGUCCCAGGAGUGUUGCUCAGUGAGAAUUGUGGGUCUUGCAUUUCUUUCCAACUUCUCUUGCCAACAUUGUUUUUCUUUUUUCUUUUUUUUUAAUAUAGAAAAGGUAAUAGGAUUCACAAUAGGCUUUUUUUCACCCCCUGUGUCAUUUUCUCUUCUUCUAAAAUUUAAAACUUCUAAAUUUAGAAAAAAAAUCUCAAAAGGAAUUUUAAUUUCCUUCUAGGAUCUAAAAGGAAGGCUGCACACUGCUCGUCAGAAACUGGGUGGAGGGCUCGUUGAUCAGGAAUGACAGUAACGGGCUAACUCCACUCUGACAUGCAAAGGCUCAACCCAGCUGCUAGGUAGAGAGAAAUCCAGUCUCUGACCACAGACACAACCUGCUGGGAAUAAGUCAAGGACCAAUUCGUUUCUCCUGCUCACCUCAAACAGGUACUAUCUGCAGAUAGCAUAGGGAGCCCCAGUGAGCACGCUGCAGCUUCUGCCUGUCCUGACCUACACCUUCCAUUCCCGCAGCUUCUCAUGGUAACCAUGCGAGCUGGGGCAGUGCCCCUGCUUUGGUGGAACCAGCUUCUCCAUCUUCAACUUUAAAUUAAGAGGAAAGACUAUGCAGAAGAACUCUUACAAGCCUGACAAAACAUAUUGACCUAUUCCUCCGGUACCUAGUUAGUAAUUCGAUAUAUGUAUUUAUUUAAAUGAAUAGAUUUUUUUUCCCCCAGCAGUCUUAAGCUUAGGGAUAAUUUUCUUAGCAAGUAUGGAGUUCGUAUUAUGGAGCCCCAGGCUAAUAUAGUUCGCACUGUUGCUAACAUCUUUCAUUAGUGUGGCCCAUCUGUUAAACUGAUAAAGCGGUAUCUGCAUAUUACUAUUAACUUAAGAGCAUAGUUUACAGUGAGCACUUUCUUAUGGGCUGUGUAGUUCCGGGUUUUCAUAAUGUCAUGCAUAUCGAGUGUAAUGAUUUUACUCUUCUAAAAAUUAUCUACCCUUACGUCUGAAAAUGAAACUCCAAUGGCAGUGUGCUUCCCUACAAAAUGGCUCAUGGGGGGGCGGCGGGCAAAGACAGAGCAGCCUGACCAGGUAAGAAACCUGUGCCAUCAUUCUGGUGAAAUUAUGUGGGCCAGAGCGAAGGCACUGAGUAGCAGAUAUGAGACAUUUGUAACAUAUCCUGACCCAAUGUGCUAUUAUUUUGUUCAUUAAUCUAAAUUAUUCUUGCGUCCUGUUAUCAGGUAAUGAUGAUGUCAUAGUCUGGUGUUAACCAUUUCAACGAUUUUUCAGUAAAUCACGAGACCGGUAGUGGCGGUUUUUUUUUUCUUUUAAAGAAUGUAGCCUUUUCUAGCUUGAAAAAUUGGGGAAGUUUUAUUGUGAGUAGAUUUAUCUAUGGCUGAGGUAUUUCUUUUAAAUGAUUUUCUCCUAUAGAGAUAUAUUUAGCUUACUUAAAAUAUAAUUCAGUUCCAAUUUGCCAUUUUUUCUUGCCAGUGAGUCAAAGUGUCAUAGGAAAUAAAGGCAGAGACUCAUUAAAGUCCUAGGCUCUUAAAACAUUUUCUUUUCUUCCCUCAGAGCAGCAAAAUUAGGGGGAGGAGUGUGGCUACAGUGAAUGGGUGUCACUGAGAAUCAUGAAUAGGGCACCAGAUUCGGAGAUGAAGAUCGCUUUGGCUUUUGAAAUGUUAAAUUCCUUCCGGUUGUAAGUAGGAGAGACAGGGCUAACCCUGCUACUCUCAUGCUUUCCCCCAAAUUCAAAUGCUACCACCAUUGGAUUUCAGGAGAACGAGGAAGGUUUUAGAUGCACGUCCACCUGAGCAAGGAGAAUUCCAGAGGUGCAGCCAAUCUCACUCUGGCAUUAAUCAUUGAAACUCAUCUCAAUAACGAGGCAUAAAUAUGAAUACAGUGACUUAAGGGCUAUUUUAUGAAGCAUAGUCUACCUUGGGGGAUCUCUUAUAGGAAUUAGUAAUAUAAAGCAAAAUAAAACUGAGUAAGCUGAGUAAGGAGCCAGGCAGUCAACUCUACAUGUAAGUAACGUAAUGUAACAUGUCCAGGAGUUAGCUUAAAUUGUCACCUUGACACAAGCCUAGAGUCACUUUUGAAGAGAGAACAUCAAUGGAGAAACUGUCUCCUUCAAAUCGACCUGUGACGAUGUAUAUGAGGCACUUUCUUAUUUGAUAACCCACGUGGGAACCCAGGGAACCCACUGUGGGUGGUGCCACUCCCUAGGCAGAAGGACCUGCGCUGUAUAAUAAAGUUGAGCAAGCUAGGGGAAGCAAGCCUGGAAAUAGUAUUCUGCAAUGGCUGUUGUUUCACUUACCACUUCCAGGUUUUGCCUUGGUACCUGCCCGGGUUUCCUCGGAUGAUAGACAGUAACUUGUAAGGUGAAAUAACCGCUUUACUCCCGAGUUGCUUUUGGUCAUGGUGUUUCUAAUAGCAAUAGAAAGGCCACAGGUAGAUCAGGCAGGGGGCAGGAGAAGGGAUGAAGCGUGAGUAGAACAUGCUGGUGAGACAGUUUUGGGAGGAGUGAGGACCUAGAUAAGGGCAUGAUGCAGAUGAAGUAAAGAUGGUUUCCGGGUGCACAAGACGCAGGUGUGAUAACCUGCAAGAGUGAGGAGUGGGCUGGAGCGGACAACUGGGUAGGAGGUGGGGUUUCCAUAGUGUGGGGAGCAUAGGCGGCGGAAGUCUCCAAAGUGUCCCGACCUAAAACCUUACAGUGGAGAGUGGGAAGCACACAGAGCAUAGGAAGACACAGAGGGUCUAGUCAGCCCCUUCAUGAGGUAAGGAGUGGCCAGGGCUUGAGCUUCGCGGUGCUUUUCUUGUCUCAGGUGACAGUGUUUGAAGAUAGCCUGGGUGUGUGAUGAAUAGACCAGGAAGGAUUGGUACAGAAAUCACUGUGCGAGUGUUAAUGUAGAAA